ACUCAAAGGAAUUGACGGGGGCCCGCACAAGCGGUGGAGCAUGUGGUUUAAUUCGAUGCAACGCGAAGAACCUUACCUACCCUUGACAUCCACGGAAUCCUGCAGAGAUGCGGGAGUGCCGAAAGGAACCGUGAGACAGGUGCUGCAUGGCUGUCGUCAGCUCGUGUUGUGAGAUGUUGGGUUAAGUCCCGUAACGAGCGCAACCCUUGUUCUCAGUUGCCAGCGCGUAAAGGCGGGGACUCUGAGGAGACUGCCGGUGAUGAACCGGAGGAAGGCGGGGACGACGUCAAGUCAUCAUGGCCUUUAUGGGUAGGGCUACACACGUGCUACAAUGGGGCGUACAGAGGGUAGCCAACCCGCGAGGGGGAGCCAAUCCCAGAAAGCGUCUCUUAGUCCGGACUGGAGUCUGCAACUCGACUCCACGAAGUCGGAAUCGCUAGUAAUCGCGAAUCAGAAUGUCGCGGUGAAUACGUUCCCGGGCCUUGUACACACCGCCCGU
rnacentral:rRNA from 1 species